CUCGACAGCGGCGACGCUAGGCGCCAUUUCCUCUCCUGAGAGUGUUGUCUUGGAGCUUAGGUAUCUUAGGGCAUUUUGCUUCAGCCGGCGGACGAGAAGAAAGGGGCGGGGCGGCUCACUUUGAUUCUGGCCUGCGGGAUUGCAUCGGGGAAGAUGGAAUGGAGUUCGUCAUCGUCAUCUUCGUUGGAUGAUUCCGGCAUAGAGGAGAUGAUUUUAUAUCACGAUGUCGACAACCUUGUGUUGUUGCAAUCCGUGGACAAAUUUGAAAGGGGCCCGAAGAGAAAGUGCCACAGAUCCACGGUUGGUCGGCUAUGCAUUCCGUGCAACCGAGCUCUCAGCGACAAAAUGCUCAUGAAGGACUACUUCGCCGAGGUACCGACAUAUCCGGCGCACCUUUUCCGUAGGUGAUAUCGAAUGCGUAGGCCGCUUUUUGUUCACAUGGUUGAAGCUUGCGAGCAAUACACCGGCCACAAACAUAAACCUACUAGUGUGCUUGAAAUCGUGGCACAAGAGGCAAGCCAAAAGGAUAUUGAGAGGGCAUUUGGCGUGUUGCAAGCUCAGUUUGCCAUUGUUUGAGGUCCUGCUCGCUUUUGGUAUAAGAAAUCCCUCGGAAAUAUUAUGACUGCAUGUGUAAUUUUAUAAAACAUUAUCAUCGAGGAUGAGAGGGAUUUGCAUUUAGAGUUUUAUUAUGAUAAUGUUGGUAGCCGCGUGAAGCCUGCCGGAGACGCAGAUGAGAUCACUGCAGUUCUUGACACCUACCGGAAGUUUGAGAACAGUGGUUUGCACUACCAGCUCCGUGAUGAUCUUAUUGAGCAUCAAUGGCAACUCUAUGGGAGAUAGAUUCCCAUUUUUAUUUGAUAAAUUCCAUAUGUGUUUUUUUUAUGAUUUUGGAUACUUUGUUGUUGUAGUAGUUAUUCGAAUUUGAACGUUUGUUGUAAUGAAGGCGGUUGUUGUAUUGCCAAUUGUUUUUGGACCAUUUAUAUUCAUAUGUUUAAUUUA